CAGAGACAACACCGCUUCCUUUUCCGGACCGUGAUAUUCAAGAUGAAAGCCACGUCGAAGUCCUGCGCACCAACUUGACUAAUUCAUUCAAUUCAAGAAAUACAAAUGAAUGCAGCAGCUUUUUACGCAAAGCUAGCACACCGGGCCAAACCACCUCCUGUUGAGAGUGCUCUCAGUGAGAGUGAGGGCAGCGAUGAGGAGUACAAUCCUAAUAAAGCAAGUGAAGGUGAUGAAAGCAGCAGCAAUGACUCUACAGUGGACAUUAGCAGCAGUGAGGAAGAUGAUGAUGAUCCGCCUCAUCCACCUCCAACCACCAGUGCUGCACCUGCAAGACCUUCAAGAGCUACAUCAAGGGCAGAUCGAGCCUAAAGCAAUAUAUCCAAAAAAAAGCCAUACAAAUUGGGAUACAAGAUUUUUGUACUGUGCGACAUAAGAGGUCUGGUGCACUCAUUUGACAUAUUCACAGGGAAAAUAGAUCCGGUACCAGGCCAACCAGACAUAGGAGCCAGUGGUAACAUUGUGCUCAAGCUUGCACAAGUCAUUCAUCCUGCUGUUCUUUGAUAACUGGUUCUCAUCUGUAGAUCUGUUUGUUGCUCUUGCAAAAAAGGGCAUACCUGCACUUGGGACCGUGCAGCACAAUCGCCUGCGUGGGUGCUGUUUCAGUGCAGACUCAUAGAUGAAGAAGAAGCGAAGAGGGACAUUUGAAGAGCAAGAGGCUCUUGUGGACAAUGUCUGCAUAAGAGCAGUCAAAUGGUUUGACAAUAGAGGGGUGAUUGUUGCCAGCACAUUUGCCAGUGCCCUGUCUGUUAUGAUAAAAAUCAUCUUUUAUUUAUUUAUCUACAUCAUAUGUCUUCUAGUCUGAUUAAAAAUGUGAUGUACAUCUGUGUUUAAACAAAAACAAUAAUUGUUUUUCAGAAUUUCACAAGCAGUGAAAAAAGAUGUUGCGAUAAAAGUGUGUUCAGACCUGA